AACGAACGCUGGCGGCGUGUCUAACACAUGCAAGUCGAACGAGGUCCAAGGAAGCUUGCUUCCUGACGACCUAGUGGCGAACGGGUGAGUAACACGUGAGAAACCUGCCUCGGAGUGAGGAAUAACUCGGGGAAACUCGAGCUAAUACCGCAUAUCUUCACAUGAUCGCAUGGUCGAGUGAAGAAAGAAUUUCGCUCUGAGAGGGUCUCGCGGCCUAUCAGCUUGUUGGUGGGGUAACGGCCCACCAAGGCAACGACGGGUAGCUGGUUUGAGAGAACGAUCAGCCACACUGGGACUGAGACACGGCCCAGACUCCUACGGGAGGCAGCAGUGGGGAAUCUUGCGCAAUGGGCGAAAGCCUGACGCAGCAACGCCGCGUGCGGGAUGACGGCCUUCGUGGUUGUAAACCGCUUUCAGCAGGGACGAAAAUGACGGUACCUGCAGAAGAAGCCCCGGCUAACUACGUGCCAGCAGCCGCGGUAACAC
rnacentral:rRNA from 1 species